UACAGAGGGUGCGAGCGUUAAUCGGAAUUACUGGGCGUAAAGCGUGCGUAGACGGUAGCGUAAGUCAGAUGUGAAAGCCCCGGGCUCAACCUGGGAAUUGCAUUUGAGACUGCUCUGCUCGGGUGCGGAAGAGGGAAGCGGAAUUUCCGGUGUAGCGGUGAAAUGCGUAGAUAUCGGAAGGAACACCAGUGGCGAAAGCGGCUUCCUGGUCCGACACCGACGUUCAGGCGCGAAAGCGUGGGGAGCAAACAGG
rnacentral:rRNA from 1 species